AGAAUCAACGCUGGCGGCGUGCCUAACACAUGCAAGUCGAACGAGAAAGUGGAGCAAUCCAUGAGUAAAGUGGCGCACGGGUGAGUAACACGUGACUAACCUACCCUUGAGUGGGGAAUAACUUCGGGAAACCGAGGCUAAUACCGCAUAACACCUACGGGUCAAAGGAGCAAUUCGCUUAAGGAGGGGGUCGCGGCAGAUUAGUUAGUUGGCGGGGUAAUGGCCCACCAAGACGGUGAUCUGUAUCCGGCCUGAGAGGGCGCACGGACACACUGGAACUGAAACACGGUCCAGACUCCUACGGGAGGCAGCAGUGGGGAAUUUUGCGCAAUGGGGGAAACCCUGACGCAGCAACGCCGCGUGGAGGAUGAAGUCCCUUGGGACGUAAACUCCUUUCGAUCGGGACGAUUAUGACGGUACCGGAAGAGAAGCCCGGCUAACUUCGCGCCAGCAGCCGC
rnacentral:rRNA from 1 species